UACGUAGGUGGCAAGCGUUGUCCGGAAUUAUUGGGCGUAAAGCGCGCGCAGGCGGUCCUUUAAGUCUGAUGUGAAAGCCCACGGCUCAACCGUGGAGGGUCAUUGGAAACUGGGGGACUUGAGUGCAGAAGAGGAAAGCGGAAUUCCACGUGUAGCGGUGAAAUGCGUAGAGAUGUGGAGGAACACCAGUGGCGAAGGCGGCUUUCUGGUCUGUAACUGACGUGAGGCGCGAAAGCGUGGGGAGCAAACAGG
rnacentral:rRNA from 1 species